rnacentral:rRNA from 1 species
UAGUCCACGCCGUAAACGAUGGUUACUAGCUGUUUGGACUAAUUGAGGUCUAAGUGGCCAAGCGAAAGUGAUAAGUAACCCACCUGGGGAGUACGUUCGCAAGAAUGAAACUCAAAGGAAUUGACGGGGGCCCGCACAAGCGGUGGAGCAUGUGGUUUAAUUCGAUGAUACGCGAGGAACCUUACCAGGGCUUAAAUGCAGUAUGACAGAUUUGGAAACAGAUUUUUCUUCGGACAUAUUGCAAGGUGCUGCAUGGUUGUCGUCAGCUCGUGCCGUGAGGUGUCAGGUUAAGUCCUAUAACGAGCGCAACCCCUAUUUUCAGUUGCCAGCAUUAAGAUGGGGACUCUGGAAAGACUGCCGGCGUAAGCCGCGAGGAAGGUGGGGAUGACGUCAAAUCAUCAUGGCCUUUAUGCCUAGGGCGACACACGUGCUACAAUGGUGCAUACAGAGGGUUGCGAGACAGUGAUGUUUAGCCAAUCCCAGAAAGUGCAUCUC